rnacentral:rRNA from 1 species
UGGUGAGAUAAAAGUUCACCAAGGCUGCGAUGGGUAGCCGACCUGAGAGGGUGGACGGCCACACUGGAACUGAGACACGGUCCAGACUCCUACGGGAGGCAGCAGUGGGGAAUAUUGCACAAUGGAGGAAACUCUGAUGCAGCGACGCCGCGUGAACGAUGAAGGCUUUCGAGUCGUAAAGUUCUGUCCUAGGGGACGAUAAUGACGGUACCCUAGGAGGAAGCCCCGGCUAACUACGUGCCAGCAGCCGCGGUAAUACGUAGGGGGCGAGCGUUGUCCGGAUUUACUGGGCGUAAAGGGUACGCAGGCGGCCAUGUAAGUCAGAUGUGAAAUCCCACAGCUUAACUGUGGUAAGCAUUUGAAACUGCUUGGCUUGAGUUAAGGAGAGGAAAGUGGAAUUCCUAGUGUAGCGGUGAAAUGCGUAGAUAUUAGGAAGAAUAUCAGUGGCGAAGGCGACUUUCUGGACUUAUACUGACGCUGAGGUACGAAAGCGUGGGGAGCAAACAGGAUUAGAUACCCUGGUAGUCCAUGCUGUAAACGAUGAGUGCUAGGUGUCGGGGGUCAAACCUCGGUGCCGCCGUUAA